CAAAAGUAAAGAGAUAGUACUCGAGGAUCAAGAAUUGAAGUACUCAAAAUUCGACUCCCGAAAUAGUGAGUAACCUUAUCAUCAUCUUGAUUAUCUAAAGUGGUCUUUUUAUUCGAUUUUGUGAUUUUUAUGGAAAAUGAGUUUAAAUGGUAAAUCUUAAUGUUUUAUAAGCAAAAUGUGAUUAAAUGGAAUGAUUUUAUAAAAUUGUUUUGAAAUUGAAUUAUGGUUUUGAAAAUUGAGUAAUUGGAGGCUAAUUGAUGCGUUGUAAAUUAUGGUUUGAAUUGAAUGGCUUAUGAUAAUGUGGGCAUGAGUGGCUAGAUUUGGUAAAUGUGCUGAAAAAGUAUGAACUGUUGAUUUGCCUUGAGAGGUUGUAAAAUAAAAUAAUUGUCAUGUCAUGCUGUUGAAUUUUAUUGAAUUGGUGGGUUAUAAAUUGGUCACUGCAGUGGACGGGUUCUGUGAACCAGCCUAUUAGAGGGGCACGGUAACCUUAUUAUAUUCAUACCUCAGUAUGAGAGGCGCGGUUAGAUAACUCCUGAGGUUAAAACUUUAGAGUUCACUUCACGCCAAACCACCACUUGAGGGUAAACUCAGCUAACGCCAAGGAACAACUAUGUUUUCAAAAUAAAUAAAAAAAACAUGAUUUAUACGUACAUGACUUUUUAACAGCCUUGGCGGACUCGGUUGGGAUAGCCCUCGGCCAAGGUAUCCCUGAUAACUGAGUAUGAGAAUGAUUUUGGCACGAGCCAAACUUUUCAGGAAAUCAUAAGCCUCGUUGUUUAUUUUGGUGAAAUGAAUCUAUUUUAUCUUAUUAAAACGAGUUCGAAAUGCUGUGAAUCAUUUUUAUGCUAAUCUAUUUUAUCUGUCUCUAUUUACUUAGCUUUAGAUAUUUUAGAUGGUAUUUGUUUACUCACUAGGAUUAUAUAAUCUCACCACCCUCCUUUUCACCCAUUUCAGGCUUAGGAUAGUCGGUAGAUAGCUCACUUUGUUGAGGACUACAGUUAGACUUGCAUCUUCAAAAACUAUAGGUUUACCGUUUUUGAUACUUUUGGUCGUUCGUGGGCCCAUAUGUCACUGUAAAUUAAAUCUUAUACUUUGGUUAUCUGUAUUAUAGUAUGUAUGAAUUUAUUUAGCUUUUACGCUACAAAAAUUAUUUACCGGUAACUCUAUAA
rnacentral:lncRNA from 1 species